UGGGGGGACCAUCCUCCAAGCCUAAGUACUCCUUAUCGACCGAUAGUGAACAAGUACCGUGAGGGAAAGGUGAAAAGCACCCCGACGAGGGGAGUGAAACAGUACCUGAAACCGAACGCCUACAAUCAGUCGGAGCCCCCUUGCGGGGUGACGGCGUACCUUUUGUAUAAUGGGUCAUCGACUUGGUCUAUCUAGCAAGCUUAAGCCGUUAGGUGUAGGCGCAGCGAAAGCGAGUCUGAAUAGGGCGCAUGAGUUAGAUGGAUCAGACCCGAAACCGAGUGAUCUAGGCAUGGCCAGGUUGAAGGUUGGGUAACACCAACUGGAGGACCGAACCCACAUCCGUUGAAAAGGAUCGGGAUGAGCUGUGCCUAGGGGUGAAAGGCCAAUCAAACUCGGAAAUAGCUGGUUCUCCGCGAAAUCUAUUUAGGUAGAGCGUUAGAUGAAUACCAUCGGGGGUAGAGCACUGAAUGGGCUAGGGGGCCUUACCGGCUUACCAAACCUAAUCAAACUCCGAAUACCGAUGAGUACUAUCUGGCAGACAGACUACGGGUGCUAAGGUCCGUGGUCGAGAGGGAAACAGCCCAGACCGCCAGUUAAGGUCCCAAAGUUGUGGCUAAGUGGGAAAGGAUGUAGGACGGCCAAGACAACCAGGACGUUGGCUUAGAAGCAGCCAUCGUUUAAAGAAAGCGUAACAGCUC
rnacentral:rRNA from 1 species